ACUGCCAGAGGACAAGCUGGGCUGAUAUCUGGUUAAAAGUGACAGCUAAGAUAUAUGGGUGGCUGUCUGCGAGUUUAGAAACAGGAAACAGCACUUUGCUGCAUUUGCCAAAGCGCGUAUAAACCCAGAGAGGGUUGUGCAGAAAGUCAAGACCAGAAUGGGAACAAGACAGUUUGUGGUGACAAGUACUACGCAGAGUGUGUGUUGAUGUGAAGAGGAACCUCCUCCCUGCCCUAGCAAAUGCUGUGCCUUCUUAUCCCAUCCAAAACAAUGUGACUCCAGAGAGGACACCGUGUUAUUGAGUGUGGAAGUGUAUCUGUCACUAUUAACGUAUCAAACAGAGGUCUUGAUAUUAUCGCCCCUGAUCAGCUGAUUAAAGCUUACCCACAGGAAAAGCCUGCCCGCAGCCUACCAAACAUUAGCUAUGCGUGACGUAGAGAAGAGUCUUUGUCGCACUCCCAGGAGUGAUGCAAGCAAACAAACACAGCUCACCCUACUGGGUCUCUAUGGCAACAAGCCACUUGUUGUCUAGAUGAUGAUCCGUCCUCUGGAAGAGGGAUCUCCCUUGACUGGAGGGAGUUUUGGAAGGAGACACGUCAACUGCAGUGCCUCAGCAACGGCUGUUUGUUAUUGAAGCAGACACAGAGACAGAGGAAAGGCUACCAGAGGACACCGUGCAGAAGACUGCUGCCUUGCAGGAAGGAAUGGGAUGGAUCUGAACAGCCAAAGCUCUUGGGUUGGAGGAAGUAGAUGAAGUGAACACUGACAAGAACAUCUAGCUAUAACCUAUUGACUAGAUGGAAAGAAUAUCUCCCUCUUGAGCAAUCGAUCAGCCUUCUGACAGAAUUUCAAAUCUCUGCUCUUUAGAUUUGUCAUAGACAGAACAAACCGGGGAAGAAAUUGGAGGAAAACCGAGGAAGAACUGAAAGAAGUUUAUUGCACUAGAAGUCUUCCCUUAAGGUGUGAUGGCUCCUCCUGGGCUGUCUAUAACAGCUGAACUUUGACCCAUGUUAAAUCCCAUGUGGGUUUCUGUUAGAUAGUAUAUUGGCUUGGGUGUCUACUUUCAAUACUGACCAGAAUAGAGGUGUGAUCAAUAUUUACCAGUUGUUAUGGAAGCUGGGUUAGAAGCUAGAGUGGUCAGUAUAGCUAAAUGAUGAGACAGUCUACCUGUAACACAGUCAGAGGCAAUCAUGACAAUGCCUGGACAAACCAGGCUGGCCCAAGUUGGAGUUUUCGUCUUCCAAUUAGAACUUAUGUCUAAGCUUCACCCUUACGGUUCUCAUUUGGACCAGAGUUACACCCUGGAAAUGCUUCUAAACCUCCAAUGAUCUCCAACAAAGAUAUAGUUAAUUCUCUUCAAAAGAAAAGACAAAUGAUCCAAACCAAUUCAAUGUAGUCAUAAAGGGGGUAUAUAUUUUCUUCCUCACCAGCUGUGUUCACUACUCAUGGUUUUGAAUGGCUGUAGGUAUUAAAAAUACCACAUUGUUUUGGCUGGGAUAAGAAACCAGUGACUAGAAAUGACAGUGCUUAAACGGUUCAGGGAACGUAAAACCAAGUCGGAGAGAUAGAGAGAAUGCUGGUCAACUAACUCACACAGUUUUCCAGGAAGUUGUUGGGUCUUUGUACCCUCCUCCUCAUCUCCUAUAAGCACGCUGUGCUCAGUGGAUAACUUCAAACUUCCGUGGAUACCUGGAGAAUUGAAGAAACUAAGCCGUUGAGCUAAGGCCAUCCACAACUACAAACCAGCAAGUCUACGUUACUCGGAGAAACAAACCGACAAACACCUGACACUUGUUUAGACGACUUUAAGUGGAUUUUCCUGGGACCGAAAGAAGAAGGAAAGCAGAUACCGCGAAUGACAGCUGUUGUGACUUACAGUUUCUUAAAGUGUGAUCCAGAGGAGCGGUGUCAGUAUCACCUGAAACUGGUUAGAAGCCUCAUCAUAGCCGUCAGUCAGAAGCUCUGGAGUGGGUCCCCGAAAGCUGCUACACUUGAACAGAUCUUCCAGAUGAGUCUGGGCAGGUUAGGUUGAAAGGCCUCUGUGUACUGUGUCACUAUGGUCGAAGGCACUCAACUUCAGUGUGUUACCAACAAAUGAAAAUAGAGAAACAAAGCAGCAAACAAAAAAUGGCGUCCACCUCUCUUGGGGUGGCCUGAAGCAGCUGAGCAGGGCUGGAUGGUGCAAUGCACUGUGCACUUUGAGGUCGUACAAUGAAACAGGAAAUUUUUCUUCUAGGUAAGGAGGACUUCAGGUAAGAAAGUGGGUUAGAAGUCUCCUCUGACCCAUUAAAGAGAGGCCCACAGAAAGAAAAUUUUGACCUCAUUCCAAAGAAUGAAACAGAAGAACUUUGGUAAUCUACCAAGACAUGGAAAAAUUUCUGAAAAGUGAGAAGAAAAAGACUUAGACCAAGGUCAAUGAGAUGACCAAACACAGCUUCUACCACAGAACUCCCUGCUAAGGGAAAGGAAAGGAAAGAGAAGUCACUGCCCAGGGCAACUUAUCUUCUCGUUCAAAGACAUCAAGAGUAGGCUUCACGAUGAGGUCACCAGAUAAAUCUGGAAGUUCUAAACCAACAGAUCAGGACACAGAAAUAAACAAAAUCUGAAACAAAUAAAAGUCAUAAGCAUUAAUAAAUAUUUUUCAAUCAUUAUUUUAAAUAUAGUGGCCUCAAAUCACCAAAGAGAUGCGGACCAAAGAUUUGGAUUAGUAAUCGUCAACUGCCAGUUGGUUCUAAGAAACACACCCCACUGAUAAAGACACUACAGACUGAGAAGCAGAGAACGGAAGACGGUCUGACAAGCCAAGAGUUAGCAUAGCUAUUCUGAUAUCUGUCAAAGUAGACUUCAAACUGUAGUCAGAGGAAAAAGCCCACUCUGUGUUGUUAACAAUAAAUGGAAUAAUUCAUAAAGAA